UACAGAGGGGGGCAAGCGUUGUUCGGAAUUACUGGGCGUAAAGGGCGCGUAGGCGGCCCGCUAAGUCGAACGUGAAAUCCCCCGAGCUCAACUCGGGAACUGCGUCCGAUACUGGUGGGCUUGAAUCCGGGAGAGGGAUGCGGAAUUCCUGGUGUAGCGGUGAAAUGCGUAGAUAUCAGGAGGAACACCAGUGGCGAAGGCGGCCUCUGGACUGACACUGACGCUGAGGCGCGAAAGCUAGGGGGAGCAAACGGG
rnacentral:rRNA from 1 species